rnacentral:rRNA from 1 species
AUACCGCGUGUGUGAAGAAGGCCUUCGGGUUGUAAAGCACUUUAAGCAGGGAGAAAAAGUUAUAAGUUAAUACCUUAUAACCCUGAUGUUACCUGCAGAAUAAGCACCGGCUAAUUCCGUGCCAGCAGCCGCGGUAAUACGGAAGGUGCAAGCGUUAAUCGGAAUUACUGGGCGUAAGCGCGCGUAGGUGGUUUGUUAAGUUGGAUGUGAAAGCCCUGGGCUCAACCUAGGAACUGCAUCCAAAACUAACUCACUAGAGUACGAUAGAGGGAGGUAGAAUUCAUAGUGUAGGCGGUGGAAUGCGUAGAUAUUAUGAAGAAUACCAGUGGCGAAGGCGGCCUCCUGGAUCUGUACUGACACUGAGGUGCGAAAGCGUGGGUAGCGAACAGGAUUAGAUACCCUGGUAGUCCACGCCGUAAACGAUGACAACUAGCUGUUGRGAGACUAUGUCUUUCAGUGGCGCAGCUAACGCUUUAAGUUGUCCGCCUGGGGAGUACGGCCGCAAGGCUAAAACUCAAAUGAAUUGACGGGGACCCGCACAAGCGGUGGAGCGUGUGGUUUAAUUCGAUGCAACGCGAAAAACCUUACCUACUCUUGACAUACUUGGAGGCUCUUGUAAUGAGAGUGUGCCUUUUGGAACCAAGAUACAGGUGCUGCAUGGCUGUCGUCAGCUCGUGUCGUGAGAUGUUCCGUUAAGUCGGAUAACGAGCGCAACCCUUACCCUUAUUUGCCAGCGAUUCGGUCGGGAACUAUAAGGGGACUGCCGGUGAUAAACCGGAGGAAGGUGAGGACGACGUCAAGUCAUCAUGGCCCUUACGAGUAGGGCUACACACGUGCUACAAUGGGAGAUACAGACGGACGCUAAGCCGCGAGGUGGUGCUAAUCCUAAAAAGUCUUUCGUAGUCCGGAUUGGAGUCUGCAACUCGACUCCAUGAAGUCGGAAUCGCUAGUAAUCGCGGAUCAGCAUGCCGCGGUGAAUACGUUCUCGGGUCUUGUACACACCGCCCGUCACACCAUGGAAGUGGAUUGCACCAGAAGUAGAUAGUCUAACCUUAGGGAGGGCGUUUACCACGGUGUGCUUCAUGACUGGGGUGAAGUCGUAACAAGGUAGCCGUAGGGGAACCUGUGGCUGGAUCACCUCCUUUCUA